GCCGGACAGACACACACCCAGACAGACACUUCCACGUGUAGACAUUUCGUUUUCUGUUUCCUCACAGGUGAAGCUCUUACCCCGACUCCAUCUCUCACUUCAGGCCGGACAGACAACCACAAACACACUUCCACGUGCAGACGUUUACAUACAAGACUGAUUCAUUUGUUUGUUGAUUAAAGUUGGUCUUUGCAAAGAAACAUUAAAAGUGGGCUAACUGCUGAUAUCAUGUGUUCAUUGUUUUCACCAAGUCUAAGAAAAUCAAAGCUAUUGGGAAGGUUGUAAGGCCCAGUGUCUAGGAUGUCGAGCUGAGAACCUUUACAUUUCAGCUUCUUGUACUGUAAAACACCAUACAGCACUACAUCUGCCAUUUUUCCCUCCAGCUAUACAAAUCUGGAGGCAGAUUGGCUUCUGACUUGUACUAAGCAACUUCCAGCAAACGUGCAUUGUAAAUAUGAGCUCAGUUUUCCUCCAUCCUUUUCCUGAACCUCUAUUUCCAGUAGAGCAGUGGGGCUUUUGUCUCCGAAGUGAAGUGAAGAUUAUUUUGGUUUGUGGUGCAUCACAUGUGUUGGCCUUUGUAACUUUCAUUAUUCUUAAAAAUUCCUUCCAGAGUAUGAGCAGUUAAACCCCUCAGUACUUAGUUUUUAUGUCAGUUUUUGCCGUGAUAUUUUAAUAAAAGUAACAACACAUAGGUGUAAAUGGCUUUGAUUUAGUUCAUUAGUGGUUGUCACUCUCGCCUUUUGACAAUCGUUUUCUUUAAAAUAAGGAGAAAGGUGGAAAAUUGAGAGACCCUUGUGCACUAAAAGUCAUGUCAAUAGUAUUCGUCGUUCUGGGUUUUGUUAAGUACGCUAUACCAUACUAUUUUCUACACCUGCGUAAUCUUGUGCAGGGCAUAAGGAAGAACAAUCCCUGGGCAGGGUGCCAGUCUAACACAGAGUGGACACAUGCACAAACCCCACACGGGCUGGGAUCAAUUUAGUAAUGGCAGCCCACCUAACCUGCGUGUCUCUGGACUGUGGGAGGAAAGUGGAGCACCUAGAAGAAACCCACAGGGGCAGCAUGUAAACUCCAUACAAGGAGGACACGGGACAUGGACCCUGGCUUUGGCCGCCUUACUGCCUGGGAUCAGUGCUGCCAACCUUACCGCCCUGAAGUAAGUGUUGUUAUUAAUUCCUGAGAUGGCAGAUGGAGAUUAACAGUGAGCUGUAUGAUUAAGUAAGGAGAGUUGAAAUGCCAGUAACAGUGGCAUUAAGUUAAAACACUGAUUGCAAGAAAUUGUUGCGCCCUUCGAAGCUCAAGUUCUUCCAGGACCUGGAGUACCCACUUCAGGAACAGAGGGGCAGUAAUGAGCUUGAGCCUAUCCUGGCAGCACCUGACACAAGAUAGGAGUUAACCCUGCAUGGCAUCAUACUCCAUUGCUUGCAACUCUCAUGCACACAUUGACCUGCCAGUUAAUGUAGCUUGGGGGUCUUGGGAUGUUUGAUCAAACUAGUAGUGCACCAGGACAAAGCAGCGCAGACAUGGACUCUCGAGCACUGUCUUUAGAAUUCUGAAGCAGGACAAGAGCUACUGAGCCACAGGGUACCCACGCAUCACUGUUACUGUAUUUGUAUGCAUCUCAACUUGUAUUAACUGUGUUGGCUUCGUAAGAUACUUCUAGGGCUAUACAUGCACACGAUCACUUUGUCAUCUUUAAAUCUUACAUGUUGUGAUAAAGGCGUCAUUUCAUUGUAUUUUUUUUAACAAUGCUCACGCCACUUUUGCAAUACAUCUAAUUUCAAUGGUUUGUUCUUUUUGAAUCACACAAAACGAAAGAAUGGAAUACUUGCUAGUUGUUAGUCUUCCAAUUUCAGUGGACGACUUAAUCCAUACAGCAGGUUGUGCUCGUCUUUUAUCCCAAAUAAGAACAUUAUUUUGUUAAACAGGCCCCAUUUAUUUUGCUUCUGUAUUUUUACCCAGGUAUACAAGGAACGCUUGGUCAUCAUGUUCACCUUCAUUUCUUAACCUUUUGUGUUAAUAACGAAGAAUAAUUGACUGUCACUGGUUCAGUAGGGUACCUUGUAACUGCCAAAGUUAACACACGUAAUCACUGAAUGAGGUUACUGGACGGGCUGAAGAGACUCUUAUGUGACCAGCCUGUUGUGAUGGAGGGCAUAAUUAAAGUUGGGAAGUCGAGCACAGGGCUCUUGGGGCUGUAGGUUGUAAUAAAUAAUAAAGACCAGCAACAUUGUGGUAAACGUACUCCUUGAAAUAUUCAAGUGCAGGGUCAUUUAUGCAAAAAAGUUUACAAACGAACUACAAGAAAGUUCACAUUUUAAAAUGCCUUUUCUUGAAAUAACCAACUCUGUCGUCGGUGUCGUGCUGUUCUCCUUAUGGCGAGUGAUUUGCAAGGCUCAGUACGUGCGUAGCUGCCACUUCUGAACUUGAGCAACGGGUAUGUUUUCAGGUCCUCCAAUCCACCGAGAUUACUCAGCGCCUCAAGUGCCUUGCUGGGAUAGCACUUUGUGAUCACAUGGAUGUGCCCGGCACAGUCGCCUCCACCCUGAAAAACCACUGAGCUGGCGCUGCUUGUGCUCUUUUUGUGAUCUGUUGUUUACUAUUAAUUGUAACAUGCAUCUUUUGUACAGUUUUUAAAGGUAAACUUUGUACAAUUAUAACUGAACUGUUAUUACAUCGAAUAAAAUAUUGAAACAUUUUGUAGUGAUAUAAUGAGUUUUUUGUUUUUUUUUCUUUCAUUCUAAAAGUUUGCCUGUAACAGUUGAUUAUUUAUAAUGUAAAAGCUUCAGGUUGUAAACUUCUUACCUGGCACUCUUCCAGUGCCCUAAAGCUCAUUAACAGAAACGUCGUGUUGAUGUGGAGACACCUUUGGUUUUGUUUUUUUUUUUUUGUUCCUAUUUAUUUUUUAAUUCUGAAAUGCCGUGUUCACAAGAUGAUUAUCCUAUGAUGUGUUUUCAUCUUUCCCAUGUUAGGUCUUUGAGAUCACUUUCUGUUUAGCGUCCAUCGACAGUACCUGCCUGCAUGUGGCCCACCAGUGUGAGUGUCAGCCUGACAUCAGCAGGAUCUCAGGGCAGAAACCCACUGCUACGUGACCACAGGUACAAAUGACCAUUGCCCGCUGGGCUUCAUUCUAUUAGAAGACUUGCCCAGUGGGAGAGCACAGAAGACCAAUGUUGGAGGGCAGCGGUGUGGAUGCCAAGAGAUCCGGCAGGCUGUCCUCACAGAUGGAAAGUGGGCUGAACUGAAGGAAGGAAACAUCCCGAGACCACAGAACUGGCGUGACAUGAAUCAUCUUCCAUUGCCACUUGAAGUUUGAUUGGACGACAACCUCACAUGGGUGGCAGAAGAAAACUUC